UCUAUAUAUAUAUAUAUAUAAGUAUAUCUGUGUAUCUAUAGAUCUUCGAUUGAAAAUUGAAGAUUUUGCUAAGAAAUCUAAUACAUUAAGGCUAUGUUUGGAUUUUUUUGAAUUUGGGUUGGAAUUUGUGGAGGGAAAGGAAAAAAGAAAGGGAAAAGUAACCAAUUUCUCUCUGCAUUUUUAUAUGAAAAUAUUAAUUUCUUUACUUCUCAGCAAUGUACAUUAUGACAGGAUGUGUUUGUUUUGUUAAUCCCAAAUUUGUGAACUUUAAUUUGAUGAAUUAAUUUCUUCAAUGAAUUUAAAGGUGAUAUUUAGAAAGUCUUGGGGGAUAAUUGCCUUGUAACACAACCAGAUCUUUCAACUCUACAUGAAUGAGUUGGAUUGAUCUUUAAGUUAGAUGAUGUUGGUGUGAAUCUUGCUGAUUCUAUUUUGAAUAAUGCACCAUAGGGAGCAAUCAAUUGGUGAAGCCACUAAUUUUCAUAUUUGAUUUUUCUUGAAGUGGUGGAAUUUAUUUUUUUUUACGCCUUCAUUCUCUAGCUUGGAACAAAAUGAAAGAUGACUUUCUGAACUAUAACAACUGUAACAACUGCCCUACUAAAAAUUUGUAGGAAACAUGACUUUCUGAAGUCUAUAACAACAUAACUAAUCCAAAGUAAAAACAAGAAUUAAAUGACCCACAACCAAAGGAGCCCUAAGAGGAAAUUAAAUGAAACACCCCUAUUCUAAAAACUAAUUCCUUUUGAACAACUGUAUUGAAUAGCCUCAUUUAUCUUAGAAGCUGGAGACACAGAGAACUCUCGUGAAAAAUCACAAUUCUAAAGCAAUAGGGCUUAACUAACUUGAGACAUUUCAAGUCUUCAACAAAAUUGGACUGACUGUUAACAUGUUUAGUUUUCAAAUUUCAAUUAUGCUCCAAUGAUCAGAGAGUCAUUACUCUGGGUCUAAUUUCAGCUUCUUGCUUUUAUUUUUAAUGUUCAAUUUCUCCGAUUCAGUUAACUUUCAAAUACAAAGGCUGUUCAACACCGCCUCAUCAGUCAUUCUUGCCUCCAUUCUUAAUGUUUAUUUGUAAGUUUUCCCCCAUUUUUAUUUUUGUGAUUAACAUUUGCCUCUGGCUCUAUUUUUUUUUUUUUUUUGGUUAUUUCUGUAACAGAGUGCAGUUCAAGUGAACAAAUUUCUUCUUUAGCUUGACUUGGAUGGAUGAACUCGUGCACGAAGCUAAAUUGUACACGACUAAUUGGCACUAUAAGCAUUUUUGGAAGGAUUAUAUAUUUUUAGAUAGAUGUGUAUGAAAAACAUUUCGGUAGACUAGUAGUUAUAUUUUUGGAUAGACUAGUUGUUAUAUUUUUGGACAACAAUGAUUCAUCCCACUAAAAACAUCACUACUAAUAGCACUAAUGCAUUAAAAAAAAAAAAAAAAAAAAAAAAAAACACAACUCCAAGAC